GGCUAAAGUACUUAUAAAAACACAGAUAAACACCAAGUUUUAGAUAAAAUGAAUCUGAAAAACUCCAUUACAGAAUUUCGUCGAUUUCAACGCAGUCGAAGAGAGAAGAUGUUGAUAAGAAGCAAUAUGCUAACCUUUGCUAGUGUCCGUUACCAGCGUGGGGGGAAUCCCCUCAUACACGAUGUAACAAUAAAAAUUAGACAAGGUCAAUUCCCAGAUUUAGGGGUGAUAACUUUCAGGUCUGAGGGUUUUUAUUUCUUUGUGGAAGAAUUUACCAGCUACAAUGACCAUGGGAGUCAUCCAACCGAUGUAAGAAUGAUUUUCAACAGCGAGGAGGACAUUGUGUUAAGAUUCGGAAAUGUCACCCAGCAGAGAAAAUUUGCAAACGCCCUAAGAACCUUUUUAAGAUUGAGCAAUCUCUCCAGCCCGGAGCCAGGAACCCCGCUACCAACUUUAGAAUAGUUUAAUAGGAGUAGUAAAGUAGUAAUAUGUUAAAACUAUUUUAAAAUAUUAAUAAAUUCCAUUGCUCAAUCGUA